ACGCUCGACACCUACGGGAGGCAGCAGGUGGGGGAUAUUGCACAAUGGAGGAAACUCUGAUGCAGCGACGCCGCGUGAGGGAAGAAGGUUUUCGGAUUGUAAACCUCUGUCUUCGGUGACGAAAAUGACGGUAGCCGAGGAGGAAGCCACGGCUAACUACGUACCAGCAGCCGCGGUAAUCUGAGCGGGCUGGCAAGGC
rnacentral:rRNA from 1 species